rnacentral:rRNA from 1 species
UGCAUGCUUAUUAACUUAAUUCAAAUAAUUUUUAACUAAUUUACUUAUAAAUCCAACUUAAUAAAUUUGUUUCAAAACUUAUUCCGGAAAUAACUUUUUUGUAAUACAUUUUAGCUUAAUUAUUACCUGCACCUUGACCUAACUUAUUUUAAAAAUAAAUUUAAAAGCAUAUUUUAAAAGAACUUUUUAAGAUGGAGGUAUACAAAGUUAAUAAAAUUAAGUAAAAUAAUCGUGGAUUAUCGAUUCAAAAACAUAUUCCUCUAUAAAGAAUAAGCACCGCCAAAUUCUUUAAGUUUCCUGAUCUUAGCAUUUACUACUUUAAAAUUUUAAAUUAAUUAAUUA